rnacentral:rRNA from 1 species
UACGGGAGGCAGCAGUGGGGAAUAUUGCACAAAAAAAAAUGGGCGAAAGCCUGAUGCAGCUAUGCCGCGUGUAUGAAGAAGGCCUUAGGGUUGUAAAGUACUUUCAUCGGGGAGGAAAAAACAAAACUAAUAAUUUUAUUUCUUGACGUUACCCGAAAAAGAAGCACCGGCUAACUCCGUGCCAGCAGCCGCGGUAAUACGGAGGGUGCUAGCGUUAAUCAGAAUUACUGGGCGUAAAGAGCACGUAGGUGGUUUUUUUAAGUUCAGAUGUGAAAUCCCUGGGCUUAACCUAGGAACUGCAUUUUGAAACUGAAAUACUAGAGUAUCGUAGAGGGAGGUAGAAUUCUAGGUGUAGCGGUGAAAUGCGUAGAUAUCUGGAGGAAUACCUGUGGCGAAAGCGGCCUCCUAAACGAAUACUGACACUGAGGUGCGAAAGCGUGGGGAGCAAACAGGGAUUAGAUACC